UACGAAGGGUGCUAGCGUUACUCGGAAUUACUGGGCGUAAAGCGCGCGCAGGCGGCUUACCAAGUCAGAGGUGAAAUCCUGGGGCUCAACCCUAGAAUUGCCUUUGAAACUGGUGAGCUGGAGUCCGGAAGAGGAUGGUGGAAUAUCCAGUGUAGAGGUGAAAUUCGUAGAUAUUGGAUGGAACACCAGUGGCGAAGGCGGCCAUCUGGUCCGGUACUGACGCUGAGGCGCGAAAGCGUGGGGAUCAAACAGG
rnacentral:rRNA from 1 species